UACGUAGGGUGCGAGCGUUAAUCGGAAUUACUGGGCGUAAAGCGUGCGCAGGCGGUUUGUUAAGUCUGAUGUGAAAGCCCCGGGCUCAACCUGGGAAUGGCGAUGAAGACUGCAAGGCUAGAGUUUGGCAGAGGGGGGUAGAAUUCCACGUGUAGCAGUGAAAUGCGUAGAUAUCUGGAGGAACACCGGUGGCGAAGGCGGCAUCCUGGACCAAUUCCGACGCUGAGGAGCGAAAGCCAGGGGAGCAAACGGG
rnacentral:rRNA from 1 species